rnacentral:rRNA from 1 species
UAGGGAAUCUUCCGCAAUGGGCGAAAGCUUGACGGAGCAACGCCGCGUGAGUGAUGAAGGUCUUCGGAUCGUAAAACUCUGUUAUUAGGGAAGAACAAAUGUGUAAGUAACUAUGCACGUCUUGACGGUACCUAAUCAGAAAGCCACGGCUAACUACGUGCCAGCAGCCGCGGUAAUACGUAGGUGGCAAGCGUUAUCCGGAAUUAUUGGGCGUAAAGCGCGCGUAGGCGGUUUUUUAAGUCAGAUGUGAAAGCCCACGGCUCAACCGUGGAGGGUCAUUGGAAACUGGAAAACUUGAGUGCAGAAGAGGAAAGUGGAAUUCCAUGUGUAGCGGUGAAAUGCGCAGAGAUAUGGAGGAACACCAGUGGCGAAGGCGACUUUCUGGUCUGUAACUGACGCUGAUGUGCGAAAGCGUGGGGAUCAAACAGG